rnacentral:rRNA from 1 species
AACGAACGCUGGCGGCAGGCCUAACACAUGCAAGUCGAGCGCCCCGCAAGGGGUGCGGCCGACGGGUGAGUAACGCGUGGGAACGUACCCCUAUCAUCGGGAUAGCUCCGGGAAACUGGCAUUAAUACCGAAUGGGCCCUUUGGGGGAAAGAUUUAUCGGAUAAGGAUCGGCCCGCGUUGGAUUAGCUAGUUGGUGGGGUAAAGGCCUACCAAGGCGACUAUCCAUAGCUGGUCUGAGAGGAUGAUCAGCCACAAUGGGACUGAGACACGGCCCAAACUCCUACGGGAGGCAGCAGUGGGGAAUAUUGGACAAUGGGCGCAAGCCUGAUCCAGCCAUGCCGCGUGAGUGAUGAAGGCCUUAGGGUUGUAAAGCUCUUUCACCGGAGAAGAUAAUGACGGUAUCCGGAGAAGAAGCCCCGGCUAACUUCGUG